UCUUCUGUGAGAUCUUGAUCUUCGAUUCCAUCAUAAGCAGAGAAUUCGUCAUACAAGAAAGCCACUAUAAGUGACCUCUUGGAGGGGCUGAAUAAAACAGUCGCAGUCAUGGGGAAAGUGCUCCUCUUUAUUAGGCACGACAAUAUAGCUCCUCUGUGAGUCUUCUUCCUUCAAUUUUAUCAUGGCUUAUUUGAUUUUUUAUCCAUUAUACUACCAUCUACCCCAUCUCUAACAUAUUCAAAUGACCUUUUAAUGGGUCUUUGUACGUGUGUGUCGUAAAGUUUUGGAGCAUUUAUACUAUGAAAAUACCAGAAUACGGCCUCUUGAUUUUCUUUUUCUUUU